rnacentral:sRNA from 1 species
GUGUGUCCCUCCAGUGCCGCUUGCCCCUUGUUCUCCCAAGCACCAGGGGGACCCCUGGUCUUAGAUUCAAGUUGCAUCACUAGACUAACCAGCUCUGGGAACCAGAGGGACACUGGAGGAACUAGUUUGGGAAAUGAAAAAUAUCUGCAAUGAGAAGUAAUUUUAUUCUCCUCUUCCUUUUACCCCAGUCUCACUCUCCAUAGUAGGACCUGGAUCUUUGCAUCAGAGAAAACAUAAUGAACAAUAACUGGAAUGUGUGUUUCUUUCUUUUCUGCCCUAGUAUUACUAGAACAUUUGCAUCGGGAAAAACAGAAAAGGUGAUCUUUCAAGCACUCAAGGAGUUAGGUCUUCCCAGUGGAAAGAAUGAUGAAAUUGAGCCCGUGGCAUUUUCUUAUGAAAAGUUCUAUGAACUGACACAAAAGAUUUGUCCUCGGACAGAUAUAGAAGAUCUUUUCAAAAAAAUCAAUGGAGACAAAACUGAUUAUUUAACGGUAGACCAAUUAGUGAGCUUUCUAAAUGAACAUCAACGAGAUCCUCGAUUGAAUGAAAUUUUAUUUCCAUUUUAUGAUGCCAAAAGGGCAAUGCAGAUCAUUGAGAUGUAUGAACCUGACGAAGAUUUGAAGAAAAAAGGCCUUAUAUCAAGUGAUGGGUUUUGCAGAUAUCUGAUGUCAGAUGAAAACGCCCCAGUCUUCCUAGAUCGUUUAGAACUUUACCAAGAAAUGGACCAUCCUCUGGCUCACUACUUCAUCAGUUCUUCCCAUAACACUUAUCUCACUGGCAGACAGUUCGGCGGGAAGUCUUCGGUAGAAAUGUACAGACAAGUUCUCCUGGCUGGUUGCAGAUGUGUUGAACUUGACUGCUGGGAUGGAAAAGGUGAAGACCAAGAACCAAUAAUAACUCAUGGAAAAGCAAUGUGUACAGAUAUCCUUUUUAAGGAUGUAAUUCAAGCCAUCAAGGAAACUGCAUUUGUCACAUCAGAAUAUCCUGUAAUUCUCUCCUUUGAAAAUCACUGCAGCAAAUAUCAACAGUACAAGAUGUCCAAAUAUUGCGAAGAUCUAUUUGGGGAUCUCCUGUUGAAACAAGCACUUGAAUCACAUCCACUUGAACCAGGCAGGGCUUUGCCAUCCCCCAAUGACCUCAAAAGAAAAAUACUCAUAAAAAACAAGCGGCUGAAACCUGAAGUUGAAAAAAAACAGCUGGAAGCUUUGAGAAGCAUGAUGGAAGCUGGAGAAUCUGCCUCCCCAGCAAACAUCUUAGAGGACGAUAAUGAAGAGGAGAUCGAAAGUGCUGACCAAGAGGAGGAAGCUCACCCCGAAUUCAAAUUUGGAAAUGAACUUUCUGCUGAUGACUUGGGUCACAAGGAAGCUGUUGCAAAUAGCGUCAAGAAGGGCCUGGUCACUGUAGAAGAUGAGCAGGCGUGGAUGGCAUCUUAUAAAUAUGUAGGUGCUACCACUAAUAUCCAUCCAUAUUUGUCCACAAUGAUCAACUACGCCCAGCCUGUAAAGUUUCAAGGUUUCCAUGUGGCAGAAGAACGCAAUAUUCAUUAUAACAUGUCGUCUUUUAAUGAAUCAGUCGGUCUUGGCUACUUGAAGACACAUGCAAUUGAAUUUGUCAAUUAUAACAAACGGCAAAUGAGUCGCAUUUACCCCAAGGGAGGCCGAGUCGAUUCCAGUAAUUACAUGCCUCAGAUUUUCUGGAACGCUGGCUGCCAGAUGGUUUCGCUGAACUAUCAAACCCCAGAUUUAGCGAUGCAAUUGAAUCAGGGAAAAUUUGAGUAUAAUGGAUCGUGCGGGUACCUUCUCAAACCAGAUUUCAUGAGGCGGCCUGAUCGAACAUUUGACCCCUUCUCUGAAACUCCUGUUGAUGGUGUUAUUGCAGCCACUUGCUCAGUGCAGGUUAUAUCAGGUCAAUUCUUAUCAGAUAAGAAAAUUGGCACCUACGUAGAGGUGGAUAUGUAUGGGUUGCCCACUGACACCAUACGUAAGGAAUUCCGAACUCGCAUGGUUAUGAAUAAUGGACUCAAUCCAGUUUACAAUGAAGAGUCAUUUGUAUUUCGGAAGGUGAUCCUGCCAGACCUGGCUGUCUUGAGAAUAGCUGUGUAUGAUGAUAACAACAAGCUGAUUGGCCAGAGGAUCCUCCCGCUUGAUGGCCUCCAAGCCGGAUAUCGACACAUUUCCCUUCGAAAUGAGGGAAAUAAACCAUUAUCACUACCAACAAUUUUCUGCAAUAUUGUUCUUAAAACAUAUGUGCCUGAUGGAUUUGGAGAUAUCGUGGAUGCUUUAUCAGAUCCAAAGAAAUUUCUCUCAAUUACAGAAAAGAGAGCAGACCAAAUGAGAGCUAUGGGCAUUGAAACUAGUGACAUAGCCGACGUGCCCAGUGACACUUCCAAAAAUGACAAGAAAGGAAAGGCCAACACCGCCAAAGCAAAUGUGACCCCUCAGAGUAGCUCUGAGCUCAGACCAACCACCACGGCUGCCCUGGCCUCUGGUGUGGAAGCCAAGAAAGGUAUUGAACUUAUCCCUCAAGUAAGGAUAGAAGACUUGAAGCAGAUGAAGGCUUACUUGAAGCAUUUAAAGAAACAGCAGAAGGAGCUAAAUUCUUUAAAGAAGAAACAUGCAAAGGAACACAGUACCAUGCAGAAGUUACACUGCACGCAAGUUGACAAAAUUGUGGCACAGUAUGACAAAGAGAAGUCGACUCAUGAGAAAAUCCUAGAGAAGGCAAUGAAGAAGAAGGGGGGAAGUAAUUGUCUCGAAAUGAAAAAAGAAACAGAAAUCAAAAUUCAGACGCUGACAUCAGAUCACAAAUCUAAGGUCAAAGAGAUUGUAGCACAGCACACAAAGGAAUGGUCAGAAAUGAUCAAUACCCACAGUGCUGAGGAGCAAGAAAUCCGAGACCUGCACCUCAGCCAGCAGUGUGAGCUGCUGAAAAAGCUACUCAUCAAUGCCCACGAGCAGCAAACCCAGCAGCUGAAACUGUCCCAUGACAGGGAAAGCAAGGAAAUGCGAGCACACCAGGCUAAGAUUUCUAUGGAAAAUAGCAAAGCCAUCAGCCAAGAUAAAUCUAUCAAGAAUAAAGCAGAACGGGAAAGGCGAGUCAGGGAGUUAAACAGCAGCAACACUAAAAAGUUUCUGGAAGAAAGAAAGAGACUUGCCAUGAAGCAGUCCAAAGAAAUGGAUCAGUUGAAAAAAGUCCAGCUUGAACAUCUAGAAUUCCUAGAGAAACAGAAUGAGCAGGCGAAGGAGAUGCAGCAGAUGGUGAAAUUGGAAGCCGAGAUGGACCGCAGACCAGCAACAGUAGUAUGAAACUCCAAAAUGCAAACUGAAGCAGCAAACCCACAAAGCAUCAAAAGACUCACUCACAAACUUCUGAACACAAACUCCAUGGAUGAAAGCUGUUUAUUUUGUUUCCUUUAUGUGUAAACAAGAUGAUAUCUGAAACCAGAGAGACUUGGAAUGUCUGACUGACUUCUAUUUAACAGCUUGAGUAUUGCAUUUCCUUGGCCAAACAAAAAUAGCUACAAAUCCACAAAAAUUUACUAUUCCAGUAAGGCAGAGUUCAACCAUUGAUAAUACAACUUAAACAUGUUUGCUAUAAAAUACCAUCACAAGUAAAUGAGCUUGGUGUGAACAACUCUCCUUUGUGAUGCCUUAGGACAUGUUUGAACUGCAGCAAAAAACAAAAACAAAAAACAGUGCAUUAGCAAUUUCAUAGCAAGUGCAUGCACUAGGAAAAGAAAACUCUGUCUACAAAUUUAUUAGCAGAAGUGGCGGUCUGCUAGACAAAUAAUUUUGCAAAAUUUUUCUACAUCUAAGUUACCUCAUCAGUAAGUGCCAUGUCUCUACCAUGCCAUCAGAGGCUAAUUUCCUGUAAAAGUUGUGGAAAUUGUUAGAACAAUAGAAAAAUAGAGCAGUGUAUGUGUGCCAAAACUCAUCAUUACUCAAAGGAGAACUGUGUUAGGCACAUUUAAGAAAGUUUACAUCUGACAUUGCUUUAUAGGAAUUGUUUCUGCAGAUUCCGGGUAUUAUAAUUCACACCAUAAAGAUUGUGAAGUGGUUAUUGGCAAACGUUUGUAAAUGUGACCAUGUAUAAAGUAUUUAUACUCUUUAAUUCACACUGUUAGAGAGCAAAAUCAUCUAAGUAUUGCCACAUGACAAGAUUAGUAAACAGGAAUACUAGAACUAUGUUUGCAUGAUACACAAGCACCAAUAAAGACUAAUCCAUACACAGUUAACCUAAUGCCAAAUAAAUACUGGUUAAAUAAAUGUAUGGCACAGAAUAUAAUUUGACUAUCAAGACUUUUAGCAUAAUGAAAAACCCCCUCUCUAUAUAUAUAUGUGUAUAUGAAUUAUGUGGGCAUUCUUGAUACUUCAAGUUCUAGUUUGAAAAAAAUACAUAACUAAUUUAAUUUUACACAAAAAUAUUUAUGCAGAUUUUCAGAAUUUCAUAUCAGGAAAUGACCUUUUUAUGUCUGUUAAAUAUCAAAACAAUUUGCUACAGUGUUAAUCUGCAUGGUCUUUAAGCCUGCUGUAGUUGAGUUGCAGACAGUGCAUGAAAAAGUAUUCCGCUGGGAAUUGAGCCAUGCCACCAAAGCCAAGAGGAGCGCAUGGAAACCCGGUAGUCUAGAACUAAUCAGAUUACUGAUUUUAGGGCACAGCACCAAAUGAAUUGUUGUAUAUGCUUGUAAAAAUUGAUUCUGUGUGUUCCUCUGAACAAAGCGGAGAAAAUGAUGAUACCAUCAAUAUUGAAAUUAAACUUCCAACUUCUCUAAUAAAAAAUUAAAACACGCAUAACACUCGUCAAGAGUAUUUGCUCCCAAGACACAUUCUAGCAAAUGUUUUGCCUUUUUCAUAUACCUGAUAUCAUCGUUAUUUUCAAAGGGGGCUUAUUAAUACCCUCAGCAUGUUUUUCACCCAAAUGAUGCAAAACAUGCAGAUUCUAGUUGACUUCAGAUGUAAUAGACUUGUUUUUCUCCUAUUUAUGAUUUGAAGUGGAUUCUGUAAAAUAUCUCUUAUUCUUAGUUUCCUUAUCUGUAAAACAGUGGAGUUAGACUACAUAUCUUUUGGCACUAACAAACAUCUCAUGAAAAAUUAUGGUUAAUAAAAUAUCACCACAUUUGGAUUGCCAAUUUUCAAAGAUUCUGAGUGGCUUCUCAUCAUCAAAUCAAAGCAAAUCAAAUCCAAGAGCUCAACUAUGCUCACCAUUCUGUAACACUUGACUGAAUUCAUCACUUGCCUCCUGUUGUUUCUGCUUUGGAGAGGUACUACUAGUUUUUCCAUUUUUCUUAUUUCUUCCCUGGCUUUUCAUCCUCCUAGGCCACCAUAAGCAUUUAUAUUUUCCAGUGUUAUAUAUGGAACCAGUUUUUUUUUCUUUGAUCCAGCUUACUUUUAGUAUUUGAGACAUCAUACCAUUAAUCCAUUGUAGUAGGAUUAAAAUGUACACACAACUCAAAUGUGCAACAAAAGCAUGUGUUGCCUGCUAUUGUAAGUUCAUAUUGCACUCAAACCUUGCCUUAUCCCUUAUUAUGAAGAAAAUUUAAUAGCCAAUUAAAGUAACUCAGUGUCUUCCA